rnacentral:lncRNA from 1 species
GGGGUCCUAUGGGGUCCGAUGGGGUCCUAUGGGGUCCCUUAUGGGGUCUUAUGGGGUUUCUAUGGGGUGUUAUGCGGUCCUAUGGGGUUUUGUGGGGUCUUAUGGGGUGUUAUGGGGUCCUAUGGGGUCCUAUGGGGUGUUACGGGGUCCUAUUGGGUCCUAUGGGGUCCUAUGGGUCCCUAUGUGGUUCUAUGGGGCUCUAUGGGUCUCUAUGGGGUCUUAUGGGGUCUUAUGGGGUCUUAUGGGGUCUCUAUGGGGUUUCUACGGGGUGUUAUGGGGUCCUAUGGGGUGUUAUGGGGUCCUAUGGGCCUCUAUGAGGUCCUAUGGGGUCCUAUGGGAUCCUAGGGGUCUCAAUGGGUCUCUAUGGGCUUUUAUGGGAUCUUAUGGGUUCUUAUGGGGUCUCUAUGGGUCCCUUUGGGUCUCUGUGGGCCCUUAUGGGGUUGUAUGGGACUCUAUGGGGUCCUAUGGGUCUCUAUGGGUCUCUAUGGGGUCGUAGGGGGUCUUAGGGGUCUCUAUGGGGUCUCUAUGGGGUCCUAUGGGUCUCUAUGGGGUUUAAUGGGGUCUCUAUGGGUCUCUAUGGGGUCCUUUGGGGUCCU